rnacentral:rRNA from 1 species
GACGAGGGGGGCUAGCGUUGUUCGGAAUUACUGGGCGUAAAGCGCGUGUAGGCGGUUAUCCAAGUCGGGUGUGAAAGCCUUGAGCUCAACUCAAGAAAUGCACUCGGUACUGGGUGACUAGAGGACCGGAGAGGAUAGUGGAAUUCCCAGUGUAGUGGUGAAAUACGUAGAGAUUGGGAAGAACACCAGUGGCGAAGGCGGCUAUCUGGACGGUUUCUGACGCUAAGACGCGAAAGCGUGGGGAGCAAACAGG